GAUGAACGCUGGCGGCGUGCUUAACACAUGCAAGUCGAACGAUGAAGCCCAGCUUGCUGGGUGGAUUAGUGGCGAACGGGUGAGUAACACGUGAGUAACCUGCCCUUGACUCUGGGAUAAGCCUGGGAAACUGGGUCUAAUACUGGAUAUGACUUCUCAUCGCAUGGUGGGGGGUGGAAAGAUUUAUUGGUCUUGGAUGGACUCGCGGCCUAUCAGCUUGUUGGUGGGGUAAUGGCUCACCAAGGCGACGACAGGUAGCCGGCCUGAGAGGGUGACCGGCCACACUGGGACUGAGACACGGCCCAGACUCCUACGGGAGGCAGCAGUGGGGAAUAUUGCACAAUGGGCGCAAGCCUGAUGCAGCGACGCCGCGUGAGGGAUGACGGCCUUCGGGUUGUAAACCUCUUUCAGUAGGGAAGAAGCGAGAGUGACGGUACCUGCAGAAGAAGCGCCGGCUAACUACGUG
rnacentral:rRNA from 1 species